CCUGCUUUCCCCCAAGUGGCAACCAGCAAAUAAACCACCAUGUCACUGCCUUCGUACCUGUACUCUGACAAUCCCGAGUUUGGCUGAAGCUCUUUUCUCCAGGAGGGACUUGUUUCCAGAAGACACUCACCCAUCUUCACCCUUAAAACCAUUGCUAUUUAGGGCAACAAAGUUCCUGGUUUUCUUUGCAUCUGGGGGCCAGGCUAAUUUUCUUCCAAAUAAGAUACAUUUUCAUGAAAGCAGAGUGAAAAGGUUGUGGGAAGACUAUCACUACACACCAUCGUUCGGAAGAACGGUGAUAGGAUCCCACGUCCAGUCACCUGCCGUGAAACCUUUACCGAAAUUCCCCCUGUGCCUGAGCUUCUCUCUGUACGGUCUAACACACCGCUUGGCGAUUAGAUCAUCCCUAGGGAAGGUACGACAUGAAUGUGUGUUUUUCUUUUCUUCCUUUUCCCCUAACUUCAUCAGACCGCAAGUACGUUUUAAGAUGAUCGUUUGGCAGGCGCUCCUUCCAACAUUCCACUUCCCGGCUCGAUGGAACACAAAAUCAGGUCUCGUCAAGACUUUUCUUAGAUCUGCUUCCCUCCAUUUCAUACAGCGGUAAGACAGUAUGCGUGAACCAGAAGACUGUCCUCACCAGGCUCUGAUUCUGUCCACAUAUGGAUCUUCACUUCCAGCUUCCUGAAAUGUGAAAGGUACAUUUCAUUUAUUGCUCAACCACCUAAUUCAUGGUGACUACAAGCACCACAUGGUAUGAUGCAUGUCCAGAAUUUAUUCAUUUUGCAUAAUCGAAGAUAUUUAUCAUUGAUACACAACUGCCUAUUGCCCU
rnacentral:lncRNA from 1 species